rnacentral:rRNA from 1 species
GUGAAACUGCGAAUGGCUCAUUAAAUCAGUUAUCGUUUAUUUGAUAGUUCCUUUACUACAUGGUAUAACUGUGGUAAUUCUAGAGCUAAUACAUGCUUAAAAUCUCGACCCUUUGGAAGAGAUGUAUUUAUUAGAUAAAAAAUCAAUGUCUUCGGACUCUUUGAUGAUUCAUAAUAACUUUUCGAAUCGCAUGGCCUUGUGCUGGCGAUGGUUCAUUCAAAUUUCUGCCCUAUCAACUUUCGAUGGUAGGAUAGUGGCCUACCAUGGUUUCAACGGGUAACGGGGAAUAAGGGUUCGAUUCCGGAGAGGGAGCCUGAGAAACGGCUACCACAUCCAAGGAAGGCAGCAGGCGCGCAAAUUACCCAAUCCUAAUUCAGGGAGGUAGUGACAAUAAAUAACGAUACAGGGCCCAUUCGGGUCUUGUAAUUGGAAUGAGUACAAUGUAAAUACCUUAACGAGGAACAAUUGGAGGGCAAGUCUGGUGCCAGCAGCCGCGGUAAUUCCAGCUCCAAUAGCGUAUAUUAAAGUUGUUGCAGUUAAAAAGCUCGUAGUUGAACUUUGGGCCCGGUUGGCCGGUCCGAUUUUUUCGUGUACUGGAUUUCCAACGGGGCCUUUCCUUCUGGCUAACCUUGAGUCCUUGUGGCUCUUGGCGAACCAGGACUUUUACUUUGAAAAAAUUAGAGUGUUCAAAGCAGGCGUAUUGCUCGAAUAUAUUAGCAUGGAAUAAUAGAAUAGGACGUUUGGUUCUAUUUUGUUGGUUUCUAGGACCAUCGUAAUGAUUAAUAGGGACGGUCGGGGGCAUCAGUAUUCAAUUGUCAGAGGUGAAAUUCUUGGAUUUAUUGAAGACUAACUACUGCGAAAGCAUUUGCCAAGGACGUUUUCAUUAAUCAAGAACGAAAGUUAGGGGAUCGAAGAUGAUCAGAUACCGUCGUAGUCUUAACCAUAAACUAUGCCGACUAGGGAUCGGGUGGUGUUUUUUUAAUGACCCACUCGGCACCUUACGAGAAAUCAAAGUCUUUGGGUUCU